rnacentral:rRNA from 1 species
GAUGAACGCUAGCGGCAGGCCUAAUACAUGCAAGUCGAAAGGUGUCUUCGGACAUAGUGGCGCACGGGUGCGUAAAACGUAUGCAACCUACCUUACAUUGGGGGAUAGCCUUUCGAAAGGGAGAUUAAUUCCGCAUAAGAUAGUAGCUGGGCAUCCAGCAGCUGUUAAAGAUUUAUCGAUGUAAGCUGGGCAUGCGUCCAAUUAGCUAGUUGGGGAGGUAACGGCUCACCAAGGCAAUGAUUGGUAGGGGAACUGAAAGGUCAAUCCUCCACACGGAGACUGAGCUACAGGCCAGACUCCUACGGGAGGCAGCAGUAGGGAAUAUGGUGCAAUGGACGCUAGUCUGACCAGGCCAUGCCGCAUGCAGGAUAAAGGCGUUUUGCGUUGUAAACUGCUUUUAAACAGAAAAAAACGACUCUUGCGAGAGGCAUUGACGGUACUGUAUGAAUAAGCACCGGCUAACUCCGUGCCAGCAGCCGCCGUAAGAC